AUGAAGCCCAGCUUGCUGGGUGGAUUAGUGGCGAACGGGUGAGUAACACGUGAGUAACCUGCCCUUGACUCUGGGAUAAGCGUUGGAAACGACGUCUAAUACCGGAUACGAGCUUCCACCGCAUGGUGAGUUGCUGGAAAGAAUUUUGGUCAAGGAUGGACUCGCGGCCUAUCAGCUUGUUGGUGAGGUAACGGCUCACCAAGGCGACGACGGGUAGCCGGCCUGAGAGGGUGACCGGCCACACUGGGACUGAGACACGGCCCAGACUCCUACGGGAGGCAGCAGUGGGGAAUAUUGCACAAUGGGCGAAAGCCUGAUGCAGCAACGCCGCGUGAGGGACGACGGCCUUCGGGUUGUAAACCUCUUUUAGCAGGGAAGAAGCGAAAGUGACGGUACCUGCAGAAAAAGCACCGGCUAACUACGUGCCAGCAGCCGCGGUAAUACGUAGGGUGCAAGCGUUGUCCGGAAUUAUUGGGCGUAAAGAGCUCGUAGGCGGUUUGUCGCGUCUGCUGUGAAAUCCCGAGGCUCAACCUCGGGUCUGCAGUGGGUACGGGCAGACUAGAGUGCGGUAGGGGAGAUUGGAAUUCCUGGUGUAGCGGUGGAAUGCGCAGAUAUCAGGAGGAACACCGAUGGCGAAGGCAGAUCUCUGGGCCGCUACUGACGCUGAGGAGCGAAAGGGUGGGGAGCAAACAGGCUUAGAUACCCUGGUAGUCCACCCCGUAAACGUUGGGCGCUAGAUGUGGGGACCAUUCCACGGUUUCCGUGUCGUAGCUAACGCAUUAAGCGCCCCGCCUGGGGAGUACGGCCGCAAGGCUAAAACUCAAAGGAAUUGACGGGGGCCCGCACAAGCGGCGGAGCAUGCGGAUUAAUUCGAUGCAACGCGAAGAACCUUACCAAGGCUUGACAUAUACGAGAACGGGCCAGAAAUGGUCAACUCUUUGGACACUCGUAAACAGGUGGUGCAUGGUUGUCGUCAGCUCGUGUCGUGAGAUGUUGGGUUAAGUCCCGCAACGAGCGCAACCCUCGUUCUAUGUUGCCAGCACGUCAUGGUGGGAACUCAUGGGAUACUGCCGGGGUCAACUCGGAGGAAGGUGGGGACGACGUCAAAUCAUCAUGCCCCUUAUGUCUUGGGCUUCACGCAUGCUACAAUGGCCAGUACAAAGGGCUGCAAUGCCGUAAGGUGGAGCGAAUCCCAAAAAGCUGGUCCCAGUUCGGAUUGAGGUCUGCAACUCGACCUCAUGAAGUCGGAGUCGCUAGUAAUCGCAGAUCAGCAACGCUGCGGUGAAUACGUUCCCGGGCCUUGUACACACCGCCCGUCAAGUCAUGAAAGUCGGUAACACCCGAAGCCAGUGGCCUAACCGCAAGGA
rnacentral:rRNA from 1 species